rnacentral:rRNA from 1 species
UACGAAGGGAGCUAGCGUUGUUCGGCAUCACUGGGCGUAAAGCGCACGUAGGCGGAUGUGUCAGUCAGGGGUGAAAUCCCGGAGCUCAACUUCGGAACUGCCUUUGAUACAGCACGUCUUGAGUCCGAUAGAGGUGGGUGGAAUUCCUAGUGUAGAGGUGAAAUUCGUAGAUAUUAGGAAGAACACCGGUGGCGAAGGCGGCCCACUGGAUCGGUACUGACGCUGAGGUGCGAAAGCGUGGGGAGCAAACAGG